GAAGCACAUGGAGUGACUCGUGAGGAAGAUUCUCAAAGGAAGUUUUAACGUUACCCUCUGCAACUUUAAGAUAACCUGCUGAUUUCCUUCUGCCAUGCAGUGGAAAUGAGGAAGCGGAGGGCGCCACGAGUUCAAGGGAAACAAGGAAGAAGACCCUUGGCCCCCAUUCCCUGGUCCAACUCGCCCUGGAGGCGAGAAGCAGAUUGUUUUUAAACUGCCCUUCCCCU